rnacentral:rRNA from 1 species
CUACGGGGGGCACCAGUGAGGAAUAUUGGUCAAUGGACGGAAGUCUGAACCAGCCAAAUCGCGUGAAGGAAGACUGCCCUAUGGGUUGUAAACUUCUUUUAUAUGGGAAUAAAGUGCGCUACGUGUAGCGUUUUGUAUGUACCAUAUGAAUAAGGACCGGCUAACUCCGUGCCAGCAGCCGCGGUAAUACGGAGGGUCCGAGCGUUAUCCGGAUUUAUUGGGUUUAAAGGGUGCGUAGGCGGGAUAUCAAGUCAGCGGUGAAAUCUUCUAGCUCAACUAGAAAACUGCCGUUGAAACUGAUAUUCUCGAGUGUAAACGAGGUAAGCGGAAUGUGUCAUGUAGCGGUGAAAUGCUUAGAGAUGACACAGAACACCGAUUGCGAAGGCAGCUUACUAGGAUACAACUGACGCUGAGGCACGAAAGCGUGGGUAUCGAACAGGAUUAGAUACCCUAGUAGUC